rnacentral:tRNA from 9 species
GGCUGAGUAGCUCAGUUGGUGAGAGCGCACGACUCAUAAUCGUGAGGUCGCGGGUUCGAGUCCCGCCUCAGCUA